UAUUGGACAAUGGGCGAAAGCCUGAUCCAGCAAUGCCGCGUGAGUGAUGAAGGCCUUAGGGUUGUAAAGCUCUUUUACCCGGGAUGAUAAUGACAGUACCGGGAGAAUAAGCUCCGGCUAACUCCGUGCCAGCAGCCGCGGUAAUACGGAGGGAGCUAGCGUUGUUCGGAAUUACUGGGCGUAAAGCGCACGUAGGCGGCUUUGUAAGUUAGAGGUGAAAGCCUGGAGCUCAACUCCAGAAUUGCCUUCGAUACUGCAUCGCUUGAAUCCAGGAGAGGUGAGUGGAAUUCCGAGUGUAGAGGUGAAAUUCGUAGAUAUUCGGAAGAACACCAGUGGCGAAGGCGGCUCACUGGACUGGUAUUGACGCUGAGGUCGAAA
rnacentral:rRNA from 1 species